rnacentral:rRNA from 1 species
AACGAACGCUGGCGGCAGGCCUAACACAUGCAAGUCGAGCGGGGAAAGGUAGCUUGCUACCUAACCUAGCGGCGGACGGGUGAGUAAUGCUUAGGAAUCUGCCUAUUAGUGGGGGACAACAUUCCGAAAGGAAUGCUAAUACCGCAUACGCCCUACGGGGGAAAGCAGGGGAUCUUCGGACCUUGCGCUAAUAGAUGAGCCUAAGUCAGAUUAGCUAGUUGGUGGGGUAAAGGCCUACCAAGGCGACGAUCUGUAGCGGGUCUGAGAGGAUGAUCCGCAACACUGGGACGGAGACACGGCCCAGACUCCGACGGGAGGCAGCAGUGGGGAAUAUUGGACAAUGGGCGAAAGCCUGAUCCAGCCAAGCCGCGUGUGUGAAGAAGGCCUUUUGGUUGUAAAGCACUUUAAGCGAGGAAGAGGCUACUUGGAUUAAUACUCUAGGAUAGUGGACGUUACUCGCAGAAUAAGCACCGGCUAACUCUGUGCCAGCCGCCGCCGUAAGAC